AAAAUCUUUUAUUAAUAAGAACUUAAAAAAAAAUUACGCUGUUAUCCCUAAGGUAAUUUAAUUUUUUAAUCAAUAAAAUUGGAUCAAAUAUAAUAUAAUUUAUAUAUUAAUAUUUUAAAUAAAUAAAAGUUAAUUAAAUUUUACUAUCACCCCAAUAAAAUAAAUUUAAAUAUAAUAAUUUAAAUAAACCUUUAUAUUAAUAUAAAUAUAUUAUUAAACUCUAUAGGGUCUUCUCGUCUUUUAAAUUUAUUUUAGCCUUUUAACUAAAAAGUAAAAUUCAAUAUUUUUAAAAAAAAAAGUUAAUUUCUCAUUCAACCAUUCAUACAAGUUUUCAAUUAAAAAA
rnacentral:rRNA from 1 species